GGAGGAGGCAGCCAGAGUGGCCACCACUGUUCUCUGCAGCAGAAGACCCCUUGCUGACCUGCCCAACCCAGCCCAGCAUUUGCCAGCUACAUCUACAUCUAUGUUUGAGGAACAUAUUGGUGAAGAACGGGACAAGUACAUGUGUGGAUUGCUAACUGGUUGAAGGACAGGAAACAGAGGGUAAUAAAAUACUUUGGCAAUUACUAUUGACAGUUCUGGAUAAUCUUGAAGGCUGCCUUGCCUGAAGAAGAUGAGUGUUACAAAUCACUCCACUGAAAGGGGGAAGAACAGCAGCAGGCAGCAGACAGGUUUCAAUUUCACAAUGCUGAUUAUCUCAUUCGUGAUUCUAUGCAUGCCUAAAUCUAAGGAUCCCUCAAGCAGCUAUAUGGACUUCUACUUUAAAAUGCCUAUUACGCUUUCAUACUUUUUGCUGCUUCCUGAAGAGUGCCAUUUCGCCAAGCUUAAAUAGCAGAAAAUUGUACUGCUUUUCCUCUGCCCAUCUCCUCAAUCUCUAUUAACCUGCACAAGAACAAAGGAAUAUGAUGGUCCGGCUAUAGGUUUGGAAAUAGGUUUGAAGUUGUUUUUCAUUUACUGGUAGCGGUCUUUCUGAUUCAUAAAUGUAGUUUAACAAUAGUGCCAUUUUAAUGCAUUAGGAAAUGAUUGACAAUGCAGAAUUUUUAACCUUAAUGUAUGCACAUAGACAUGAUGUAUACAAAUUCACACACACUUUUCAAAUGCAUAUACAUGUUAUUUACAUAAGCAUCAAAUGAUGGCAGAUCACUCACAGAAUGUGUUAUACCUUAACUAAAGAUGAAAGGAUAAAACUUCUCCAAUUGGAAUUCUUUUUAUUUAGGUUACAUGAGAACAAUAGGAUACAGCCACCAAAAAAAAAAAAAAAAAAAGGAAAAGAAAAUUGUUGAAGCACCUGGUUUUAAUGCAUGCAGUGGGCCUUUAUUAGAUGUCAUAAACUGAAUGAUGCAUUACUCUGUGGACUACUUAUAGCCUAUGAAGAGGUAAAAUGGAGGACAAAGAAUUCUUUUGAAACAAUAAGGCUAAAAGUUCUUUUAAAUCAAGCCAUGUUUUAUGAAGUGCAGAAUACUUAAUCGAUUCAGAGAGAUUUGGGGCAACUUAAAACUUAAAAUUUUGUAUGUAUUUCUAUAUUACCUUUAAGAUUAAAGAGUAUUUUACUUAAACAUAUUAUAUUGCAUAUAAGAACCAUAUACA